CCUACGGGAGGCAGCAGUGAGGAAUAUUGGUCAAUGGACGAGAGUCUGAACCAGCCAAGUAGCGUGAAGGAUGACUGCCCUAUGGGUUGUAAACUUCUUGUAUAUGGGAAUAAAAUGUUCCACGUGUGGGAUUUUGUAUGUACCAUAUGAAUAAGGAUCGGCUAACUCCGUGCCAGCAGCCGCGGUAAUACGGAGGAUCCGAGCGUUAUCCGGAUUUAUUGGGUUUAAAGGGAGCGUAGGUGGAUUGUUAAGUCAGUUGUGAAAGUUUGCGGCUCAACCGUAAAAUUGCAGUUGAAACUGGCAGUCUUGAGUACAGUAGAGGUGGGCGGAAUUCGUGGUGUAGCGGUGAAAUGCUUAGAUAUCACGAAGAACUCCGAUUGCGAAGGCAGUUCACUGGACUGCAACUGACACUGAGGCUCGAAAGUGUGGGUAUCAAACAGGAUUAGAUACCCCAGUAGUC
rnacentral:rRNA from 1 species